UAACGAAUCUUCCGCAAUGCGCGAAAGCGUGACGGAGCAAUGCCGCGUGCAGGAUGAAGCUCCUCGGAGUGUAAACUGCUGUCAGGGUUUAGCAACACAAUGAGCAGACCCAAAGGAAGGGCCGGCUAACUUCGUGCCAGCAGCCGCGGUAAUACGAAGGGCCCGAGCGUUGCGCGGAAUCACUGGGCUUAAAGCGUGCGUAGGCGGACAUGCAGGCGUUUUGUGAAAGCCCUCGGCUCAACCGAGGAAUUGCUUGACGAACCGCAUGUCUUGAAGCAGGUAGGGGUCGUCGGAACGAUAGGUGGAGUGGUGAAAUGCGUUGAUAUCUAUCGGAACGCCGAAGGAGAAAUCAGGCGACUGGGCCUGUCUUGACGCUGAGGCACGAAAGCGUGGGGAGCGAACGGG
rnacentral:rRNA from 1 species